rnacentral:rRNA from 1 species
ACUUAUUUAAAAUAUCACUCUGUCUCUGAUCUCGGAAGCUAAGCAGGGUUGGGCCUGAUUGGUACUUAGAUGGGAGACCACCUAGGAAGACCAGGUGCUGUAGGUG